ensembl:miRNA
CUGGGGGAGGAAGGACAGGCCAUUUGCCAUUCCUCCACCAGCCUGACUUGAUCCUCUCUUCUGUCCUCCCAG